UAAUUAAAAUCGAUUGUGUUGCUUUUUUGUGGUACUGCUUUUCGGAAUUGAACCUUUCUUAACCUUUUUGGUUAAGUGGUUUAAAAUUUAUCUGGGCGUGAUUUAAACGUACUUAAAAGAUUCUUUUUUACGUUUUUAGCCGCCGAAUUUUUAUUAGGUAUGACCUUAUUUUUGUGGUUACAUAUCUAUAUUUUCAUUU
rnacentral:misc_RNA from 1 species